UUUCGGGUUUAGGCUGGGUUUUGUUAGUUUGGUUUGGUUUAUUUAUUUUUAUUUGGGUUUUUAUGGGUUUAGUUAGGUUGGUUUGGGUUUAUUAUGGGAUAGGUUAGUUUUGUUUGGGAUUGGAUUUAAUUGGACUGGGCUGGGUUUAGUUAGUAUGGUUUGGGAUUGGUGUUUCAUUCGGAUGGAUGUUUUAUUUUAUUUUAGAGGUUUCCUCAUGGUGUCUGGUGAUUUUCACACUUUAGUCCAGUAGGUGGUGGUAGUGCAGCUUCAGUUGGUCUGCUGCUCACCUUUACCUGACAGGGGAAGAAGAUCCAGUACAGUGAUUAGAGCAGAGUGAAAAGUGUUACACUAACUGGAAGAUAAAAGCUAUUUUCGGAUUUAUCAGUCCACUAACACACCGAGGACCGGAAUUCACCCUGUUGGUGAACCAAACAUGCUGGUUUCGCACUGUGUGCGUCAUACACUGGAGCCUGAGCGAGCACAGCCGGCGGUCCGGCCCAAAGACACUGAGCCAAGUUGAACCUGUUCCUAAAGUACGAUCUGGUGAUCCUGUACUACAGUACUGUGUGUAUAUAUGUAUAUAUGUGGUGUAAGAUGUGCUCACCAGUUCCUUCGCCUCCUGGAGAGAAUCCUCCACGUCUGAGAAGCUGAAACUGGCCACAGUGAUGAACUGACUGACCACUGAUACAAACUUAUCACCAGAAUCAACAGGACGACUCUUCUGAUACUCCAGCUCCUGCACACACACCAAAUAAAUUAAUAAAUACUUAAAUAUAUAAUUAAUAAAA